AUGUUCCUCAGCAGAAAGUUGUACCAGGAGUCCCUCAGACAGUGUUACUGUACUAUUUGCUUUAUAUUUAUUGGACAUUUUUUUAAUUCCUCCUUCUUGCUUUUCAGUUUCAGGAUGGACAACACAGGGAAGGUAGCCCUGCAAUACUUCUGGGAAGAAGCUGCAGAUUAUGAACCAGUGAGCAAGCCCUAUUCAACCACUCUGAUGCGUCAGUUGCUCUCUUCUGCUACUGUAAAGAAGUACAGAAAGCUGGUGCAUAGUUUCUGGUGGCAGCAGGGCUCUCAUUUUAAGACACAUCCUUCUGAGCUGCGGCGCCUACAGGAGCUUGCCAAGCAGCAGCAGGAUUCCAAGCAGCAGCAGCCUUCUGAGCAGCAGCAGCAGGAGCCUGAGCAGCAGCAACAGGAGCAGUCCAAGCAGCAGCAGGAUUCCAAGCAGAAGCAGUCCAAGCAGAAGGACCGUUCCAAGAAGCUACGCCGCUCUAAGCAAAAGCAGCUCUCUCUGGAGCGUGUCAGUUCCUCCCUGGAAAUCUUCCCAGACAUCGUCCAUGACGUGCCCCUGUUCUCUAUCGACCCCGACCACGGCACCAUCGCUCCUGGCCAGCAGCAGACCUUCCAAGUGCUGUUCUCCCCGAAGUGUGUGGGGAACUUUGAGAUCACCAUGCUGUGCAGGUGGGAAACGUCUACGUACUUGCCAACUCACGCUUCUGAUGGGUAUCACUGAAUCACAGCUUGGAACAGGGUAGAAGGGACCACAGGAGGUCAUCUGCUCCCACCUCCCUGCUCACGUGGGGUCAUCCCAGAGCACGUGGCACAGGGUUGUGUCCAGAGGGCUCUGGAAUAAUUCCAGUGAGGGACACUCCACACCCUCUCUGGGCAGCUGUCUCCUACACAGGAAAGACGUUCUUCCUCAAGUUCGGAUGGAGGAAUUUCCUGUUCAGGUUCUGCCCACUGCCUCUUGUGCUAUUGCUGGGCAUCACCAAGCACAGCCUGGUUCAUCACCUAACACCCUCCCUUCAGUCCCUCUGACUGGGAUGGGGAGGUGGGCCUGGAGACAAGCAGCCCAAGAGAAGCAGCAGCUCCCACAGGAGCACAGAGUGAUCAUCUGGCCUUGGUAGGGAGACACUGGCAAAAGACACUGUAUGAAACAUUAAGCUCCUGCAGGGUUGCAAAAUCUGAAACAAGAGAUCCAGGAAGAAGCCAGUCCCUAGCUCUGCUUCCUUUUGGGACAAGCAAGGCCUGCUUCUCUACACGAGCCCCGUGUAAUGCAGUUGGUCCCCAGGCACUUAACUGGUUGUGUUCCUGCCCUUGCACCUCUGCAGCCUCCAAGGAGUGAGUGCAGUUGUUUCAUUUGCUGCUCACUGCUUGCACAGAGAGAGGAUGCAACACUGUGUGCUCUGCAAGGAGACAGAAAAGCGUCUGGCUGGAAAUGUUUAUCUGGCUAAUAGCAGUCCCUCUCUUCCCAGCAUUCCUAACCUGGAGCCGAGUCACAGGAGGGUGCGGGUGAUUCUGAAGGGCAGAGCCCGGGACCAGAAGAGUUUUGAUAGAGAGAAACGCUCUGCCUUACGGCAGGCAGAGGAAGGCCAGAGACCCAAGAAGCAGGUGCGCUGGCAGCCAACACCCGAGUGACAACAUUUGUGUCAGCUGGAGCAUCCAGCAGGAGCUGGCAACAUCUUGUUUGCUGCUGCUGAUGGUCUCCCACCUCCUACCUGAGACCUCUGCAGCCACCCUCUCAAGCUCCAGCUCCACCUCCUCAUUAUCAUUUAACUAACCAAUUGUUAGUUAAAUGGUAAUUAACUAUUAAUCACUGUUCAUUAAACAGUUGUUCACAGAUCGCUGUCAGCCUGUUUUGUUUGCAAAGACAGGUGUCUGCCUGACCUCUCUGGAAUGGAGAAUGUGACCCCCUUCCCUCCAAAUUAUUGUAACUUUGAAAUUAAGGGCCCUUCAGGCAAAGAUAUGGGAAAAGGAGCAACACUUCUUUACUACUAUGUGUAACAAGGCAAACAAACAACGCUGGCAGCAACAACAAACAGAACCAAAUACCAAACCACAGCCUUCUCUCGGCUGCAGGCACUUUCCCUUUGGUGUAGUUCCAGUCGCAGCUGGGCAGGGAAGGGAGACAAAUAAUGAAUAAAGCAAUUGCUGGAGAAAUUUUAAUUAAGCUA
rnacentral:lncRNA from 1 species